CCUACGGGUGGCAGCAGUGGGGAAUAUUGGACAAUGGGCGAAAGCCUGAUCCAGCCAUGCCGCGUGUGUGAAGAAGGCCUUCGGGUUGUAAAGCACUUUCAGUGGGGAAGAAAGCCUUGGGGCUAAUACCCUCGAGGAAGGACAUCACCCACAGAAGAAGCACCGGCUAACUCCGUGCCAGCAGCCGCGGUAAUACGGAGGGUGCGAGCGUUAAUCGGAAUUACUGGGCGUAAAGCGCGCGUAGGCGGUCUGAUAAGCCGGUUGUGAAAGCCCCGGGCUCAACCUGGGAACGGCAUCCGGAACUGUCAGGCUAGAGUACAGGAGAGGAAGGUAGAAUUCCCGGUGUAGCGGUGAAAUGCGUAGAGAUCGGGAGGAAUACCAGUGGCGAAGGCGGCCUUCUGGACUGACACUGACGCUGAGGUGCGAAAGCGUGGGUAGCAAACAGGAUUAGAUACCCCGGUAGUC
rnacentral:rRNA from 1 species